rnacentral:rRNA from 1 species
UACGUAGGGGGCAAGCGUUGUCCGGAUUCAUUGGGCGUAAAGAGCGUGUAGGCGGCCAGGUAGGUCGGUUGUGAAAACUGGAGGCUCAACCUUCAGAGGUCGACCGAAACCAUCUGGCUAGAGUCCGGGAGAGGAGAGUGGAAUUCCUGGUGUAGCGGUGAAAUGCGCAGAUAUCAGGAAGAACACCCGUGGCGAAGGCGGGUCUCUGGGCAUGUUCUGACGCUGAGGAGCGAAAGUGUGGGGAGCGAACAGG